GACGAACGCUGGCGGCGUGCCUAACACAUGCAAGUCGAACGGGGUUGAGGUCUUCGGACCUUAACUUAGUGGCGAACGGGUGAGUAACGCGUGAGAAACCUGCCUUUCAGUGGGGGACAACAGUUGGAAACGACUGCUAAUACCGCAUAAUGUUAUUUGGGGGCAUCCCUGAAUAACCAAAGCUUUAUGUGCUGAAAGAUGGUCUCGCGUCUGAUUAGCUAGAUGGCGGGGUAACGGCCACCAUGGCGACGAUCAGUAGCCGGUCUGAGAGGAUGAACGGCCACAUUGGGACUGAGAUACGGCCCAGACUCCUACGGGAGGCAGCAUGGGGAAUAUUGGGCAAUGGGGGAAACCCUGACCCAGCAACGCCGCGUGAAGGAAGAAAGGGCUUUCGGG
rnacentral:rRNA from 1 species